UGGUAGGCUUCCUGCUGCUUCAUCUUCUAAAGCCAUAGGAGUUGGGGCUGAACCUGGCUUAGCAGGAUUCCAGGAUUCCUUGACCCCAGGCUCCCAGCUCCCAGCUCUUAGCCUCCCUCUAGCUCACUAGUUCCGGGAUUUAUGAUCCACUGCUGCUUAAAGUUUGUCCCACUCUGGAAGCUUCUAAAGAAGGGACUUCUGGCUACAGUAAACAAGAACGGAAUGGUAAAGAGUACUAUUGAGCCUCUACUGCCACCAUAGCUAGCAGUGGCUAAGAAUAUUAAUAUUCAUUGUCUCCUCUAAUAUUCACAGCACUGUGAGAGAAAUAUUCUCCCAGCAUUCUAGACAAGGAGCCUAAUGCUCAGUCACUUGUGUGGCAGCAUCGAAAAUACUCAGUAAUCUCCAUAGAAAGCAAGGUCUUCAUCUCCUGUGAGUUUUGGCGAGUGGAGUCUCCCAUCUCAGAAACUAAAUCUGGUCAACUGAUGUUGAAAUGACUAAAGAUAUGAAAAGGAACACAGAAAUCACAGAUUCUGAACAUAAUUCAAUGUUGAACGAUUCAAUUAAAUUUGAUUCAAACGUUUGGACUACAUGGCCCCCAUUUGACAAUGGAAGACUGGGACAAAAGACAUGCAGCAGAUCCUGAUGGAGCAACCUCAAGUGCCGGCCAAGCCCCUCCUGCUCCUCCUCUGCAUUAGGAAUUCUGCAAAUGAGUGAUGGUUCACAGGGGGCUCGAUCACAGAAAAGCAGUUGUUGAUCUUUGGCUGCCUGCAGGCCUGCAAUCUGUGCUACAAGUUUAUCCCUCCCAGAAAAAGCAAAAUAAAGAAGGACGAGACAAGAGGAUGGAACCAAUACAAGCAUCUGUAACAAGCUAAUUGGACCCUUGUGGGCCACCAGCAAGCACGAAACUAAAACAAACAGAGCCUCACAUUGUGCACCUUCAGGACCAGAUCCAUCCUGGGUCUGUCAGCUUUUCCCCUGCCUCCUCCCCUGACCCCCAUUUUUAAAGGACCUAAUUAUGGCUCUUUCCAAAGGAUCACAAGCCAGUUUUCAUCUAAAAAGAAUAAGGUAUUAUGCCUCCGAACUGGAGACACUGUUAGAAGUUGGUAAUUAGUAUGACUUGUUAAUAGAGUUUGGCUGUGAUUAAGCAGUGAUUGAGCGCGAGUUUGGUGCCUGUCAGUGGGGAAGCCUGAGGAGGGUGAGAGAUGUUUAAUGAGACACCUGUUGUUGGGGGUCCACUGGGGUUUGUUGCAGCUGAUUGGCACUUGGAUGCAGUGCGCUCGGUGCUGGGGGCUGGGCUGAGCCUGGCAGGUGGUUGGCACCAGAGCGGAGCUCGCCGCUCCCAGCAAGUCAGGGCUGGCUGAGUUUUCCGAGCUGUCUGUCCACGGCUGCAGCCACAUGUUCCCACAUGAUCUAGGUGGUGGGCUGACUGACUGUGCGCCAACCCCCAGCGGGCACUGCCCCUACUCUGCAAGAGGAAGAUCUCCAGGUCCCCCGUGACCCUCGCUCCCAACCAAGCACCGGGCGGGGCAUUGGGCACUCCUCCUCUCAUCCAGCCUCUCCUGUCCCCAGUGUAUAGCUGGGGAAACUGAGGCAAGGGAGGUUAAAUAGUUUGCCUAAGCUCACAGCCACCUCCAGGGCCCGAUGCACUGUAUGCAGAGCCAGCACCUCUCAAACCUUAAAAUGAUCCCUGGGGAGUGUGUUAAAACGCAGAGUCUGAGAGAGUAGGUCUUGGGUGGGGCUGGAGAGACCACCUUCCUAAGAGCUUCCCGGCAGUGCCCAUACUUUGAAUGAAGUCGGCAGGGUACUUCCUUGUACUAGAGUCACACAGAACCCCCUAAGAGAGAGAUGCUUAUCGUGCAUUUCAAUUUUAUGACUAGACCACAUCUUGCCUUUUGGAAGGGACAUACAUAGUAGUAAUAUACCUCAUCUUUGCCCAGAAACAGAGCCUGAUGCUAGAGAUGUUGGGGAACUCUCUAUCUAAGGGUGUAGUGUGUGGUGGAUGGGGCAAGUGG
rnacentral:lncRNA from 1 species